CUGCAGAUCCUUGUUGUAGGUACUUGGAAGUCCUUUGAGCACCAUGAGGAUGGCAGCCAACUGCAGAGAGAAACAGCAGGCUCACCCGUCCGAACACACGACCAGCUUUGCUGCGGAUCAGUUCCAGGCUAUCGGGAUUCUUCUUCUGAGGCAUCACACUGCUGCCAGUGCUGAAAGAAAGGCGUGUGGUGUGUAACGGUGAACAAGAUCCCAGCCCCUAUAGACACAGGCUAAGACAGGCGCUCAGAAUCACGGGUCAGAGCAACAGCGUGGCUGGGAAAGGACAUGAGAGAUGAAGCACCUGAAGUCAGAACAAGUCACUUCCCUUCCCAAGCAAUGUGCUGCCAUGCCUGGAGCCUGGGAUCCCUUCUCAAACAGAAGAGGUUUGAAAUGGAGCCCAGGCACUCAGUCCCAUUGAAGUAGAAGAGUUGCAGCCAUACAAGCAUCUCCAUGUUACCCCAUUAGCUGAGGUGUAACUGUGGCCAAAGGUUGGAGCAUACAACCUCUACUGCCCACUCAGUGCUUGGGUCCUGGGUUUGUCAGAGCCACACAAGAACAGUUUGCAAGAUGAGCCCUCGUUUGUCAUCC
rnacentral:lncRNA from 1 species